UACGUAGGGUGCAAGCGUUGUCCGGAUUUAUUGGGCGUAAAGAGCGUGUAGGCGGCCAGGUAGGUCUGCUGUGAAAACUCGAGGCUCAACCUCGAGACGUCGGCGGAAACCAUCUGGCUAGAGUCCGGAAGAGGAGAGUGGAAUUCCUGGUGUAGCGGUGAAAUGCGCAGAUAUCAGGAAGAACACCCGUGGCUAAGGCGGCUCUCUAGUACGGUACUGACGCUGAGACGCGAAAGCGUGGGGAGCGAACAGG
rnacentral:rRNA from 1 species